GACAGAGGGUGCAAACGUUGUUCGGAAUUACUGGGCGUAAAGCGAGUGUAGGCGGUUUGGUAAGUCGGAUGUGAAAGCCCCGGGCUCAACCCGGGAAGUGCACUCGAUACUGCCAAGCUAGAGUAUCGGAGAGGUUGGUGGAAUUCUCAGUGUAGAGGUGAAAUUCGUAGAUAUCGAGAGGAACACCGGUGGCGAAGGCGGCCAACUGGACGAAUACUGACGCUGAGACUCGAAAGCGUGGGGAGCAAACAGG
rnacentral:rRNA from 1 species